UUUUAUGAGGAAAUGGGUGCAAAAGUUUUGAGUGAGUGGAGGAUUUGUAGGCUCACGGGUGACGCUCUGGAUGCUUAUGGUAAUGCUAAUAUUUAAAAGACGGCUUAGGGAAUUUGUUGACGCUUGUUGUUUGAUGGUGGUUCGCUAAUUGUGCCCUUUUGUUUUCUCUAACUGGGGACAGUGAAUUUCAAGGCUUUACUUUUGAGGUUGUAGUGUAAUGGAUGUGUUUACUCUAUUAUUAAUCAAAUGUAUUGGAUUACGUGCCUUUGUUUGUUGUUCCAAUCAUUGUCAUUAUGCUUAUGAAGUUGUAGCUUUUGUUUGUUUCAAUUUAGUAAUACUGAAUGGUUUUUGUAUCAUUACUCAGAUUCUUUUCUCAAAUUAUGUUUAUGGGGAGGAAAGGUUAUUUUCAGUGUUAGCCUCAUUUAGUGAAUGUAAGGGAAUGAGACAGCAGGGUUCCGGGGUUGGGUAGUUUGGGAUGUAUCUAGGGACUCCUAACAAGGAAUUCGGCACCAUUUAAUGUGGGAAGGGUUACGGACAAACCCCAUGUAUGUCCAAACCUGAAGGAUGGGGUUUAUCUGUGUUAGUUAAGAAAAUGGUCUAUUCACAUUUGAUUAAGUCUGUUUCCUUUUUUAAUAACUGCUCAGCCCCUCACUGAUACUUUGCCACAACUUGCGGAGCAUUAGACUAUUUUUCUAGGAGCGAGGAAGGGAGAGAAGAGUAAAAGGAAUAAUUAGAGGAAGCAGAAGGGAAGGCUGAAAUGAAAGGAGAGUGAUGUUACUUCCUUUUGCCUGUGUCUUUUAAUAAAAGAUGAUAACUUGGUUGCAUAUGUUUGUCUAUUUGAAUAGGAUUAGCGGACCAGUUCAAGACCAAGUUUUAGGUUGAUUGUUAAAUUAUCCGAGCCCUUGAACAUGCUAGUUUAUAAAACUCAUUUAGUGGAUAUACACAGUUUAGGUUUAUCAACUCCAUCUAGUUUAGAAAUUGGCUGAGCCCCUGAGCACACUUCAGCUGGGCUCAAGCUGCUCAACUGAGUGGCCUCAGCUUGAACAUAUUGAAUAGAAGUGGUGAUUUGUUCAUGCUGCUGUAGCAGCCAAGGUUGGUUACUGGUUGGUCACUAAACUCGGUUAUUAGAGAUGAGAUUUUUCAUGAUGGACCUAGUUUGUGACAGGCAAACGCUUUUGUAUUGUCAAACUUGGCUUGGAAGUCUUAUGGUGCGUUUACUUGCUGGAUUGGGGAAUCGGAAUCCAGAAUCGGAAUGAUUGAUGAUGUUUACUUCGCAAAUAUGGAGUAGGAAUCGGAAUCGGAAUGGUGGGGCCCACCACUAUUUGGGAAUGGAGAAUGGGAGAUUGAUUCCUAUGGAGGAGGUGGGAGGAGGUGGGAAUGAGUCUCCCAUUCCCGGGAUUGACCAUUUUGCCCUCCCCCAAAAUUGAAAAUGCC
rnacentral:lncRNA from 1 species